CUUGCUCUAUAAAGCAAAAAUUCACAUUUUAACUUAGUUUUAAAUAAAUGGUUUACAAUUAUGUUCUAACAUAGCCCCAGACUGUCCUUAAAGGGUCAGGUGUGUGUUACACUGUCACCUUCAUGGAUUUGCUUUCAGCUACCAUUUGGAUCCUUCGCUUGGAAAAAUGUUUGAGAGGCUGCACCCUCAGUUACCUUCUCUGCCCUAUCCCCUUCAACCACCACGUGCUCAUGAUUCAUAAACUUUUCAGUUGCUACUAACAAGACUUUAGAACAGCAAGAGACUGCAGAACUUCCUACAGUGAUGAUCAGAACUCCAUCUAUUAACUAUAUGGAUAUCUUACUCAAAAUUUGUAUCAGGAACUGUGUCAUAUGGAAAAUCCUACAUCCACAUCUUCAAAAAAAGUUGUUGAAAAAAUCUACAAAAAUUAAAUUACAAAGAUAAACAGCACAGAUAAAUAAGAAGGAAAAUCUAGCAUCCCUUCUGAUCCAUUUUCAGCUAUGGAUUCAUAAGCAUUAGGAAGAAGCCUGCCCUACAGCAGUCCUAGUAUCACCUGGCCAUGAUUUUGCUGCUGCAGCAGCUGCUUGUAUCCUGGCCCUGCACCCAGGCAAUGCAAAGCCCAGCUGUUGAAGAGAGUUCUCUGUGUCCGCGUGGAUGCUGGACUGCUGCUCACUGACCACACUCACGUAAUGAGAAAGAACAGCUUUACGCACCCACAGAAAUGAAGGAAAAGGAUUCAAAACGUGGGCAGCCUCCUUACUUGUCAUGAAUGCGGUGUGGAAACAUCUAAAUCUAGAACCAAGAAAUAAUAUGGAAGGAAUACAAUUUAAAUGCUUGGAUUUUUAAGACUAUUGUAAAAAGGCCUACUGAAAAGCGCUCCAAUUUUGAGCACCUCACUAUGUUUGACCAACACGUUUGCAUAAUCAGAGCCCGGAGAUGAUAACAUUCUGUACUAGAAGGGGAAAUCGUGGAGAGAAAUCGUGAUGAAAGCUGUAGUUACGCCAUCGAAUCUUCAAGCCUUUCGACUUCUUUCAAAAUUCAACAUAAAUACAGGAAGCAUCUUGAUUUCUCUAAGUAACCAUCACCCCUAAAACACAAACCUUGUUGAAAUAUCUGAAAAGAAUAGCUCUGAUCUCAACAGGACUCAGGCAAAUGAGUUUUUCUAAGACAUUCGCUUCACUAUGAGAGAGAUUUUGGGAGGAGGCUCUCAGCAAGUUCUGGCGACUCUGGAUACUCUCAUUCUUGUAUUCGAUUGCAGCUUCCAGUGCUUCGAUCCCUUCUUCAAGUUGGAAAAGAACACGCUCCUCCUGAGGUGACACAACAGAGAUCACUCUUUAAGUGAAAUGGCGUAAUCUGGACUCUGUCGCAUACUCAGAUCGUAUUAUGCUAUGAGUUUAAUGGACAGUAACAUUCUUUUUCUAAAUUCUAAGAAAACUGUUUUAGUUCUUCCUAUGCUGCACGAUGCACUGUGUGUGUAACACAUAAUCCCAGCAUCUUCAUAGUAAGCCUGUGUAAUAAAAUAGAGAUGCAGAAGCUAGGUGAGUUCUGAAACU